rnacentral:rRNA from 1 species
GAUGAACGCUGGCGGCGUGCCUAAUACAUGCAAGUCGAGCGAACAGACGAGGAGCUUACUCCUCUGACGUUAGCGGCGGACGGGUGAGUAACACGUGGAUAACCUACCUAUAAGACUGGGAUAACUUCGGGAAACCGGAGCUAAUACCGGAUAACAUGUUGAACCGCAUGGUUCAACAGUGAAAGACGGUCUUGCUGUCACUUAUAGAUGGAACCGCGUCGCAUUAGCUAGUUGGUAAGGUAACGGCUUACCAAGGCAACGAUGCGUAGCCGACCUGAGAGGGUGAUCGGCCACACUGGAACUGAGACACGGUCCAGACUCCUACGGGAGGCAGCAGUAGGGAAUCUUCCGCAAUGGGCGAAAGCCUGACGGAGCAACGCCGCGUGAGUGAAGAAGGUCUUCGGAUCGUAAAACUCUGUUAUUAGGGAAGAACAAAUGUGUAAGUAACUAUGCACGUCUUGACGGUACCUAAUCAGAAAGCCACGGCUAACUACGUG